rnacentral:pre_miRNA from 1 species
UCCCUUGAGAUGCCCUGAGCCAAGCUGGUUCCUGCCACGGUGAUAAUCCAAUCUAUUGUGACUAUCACCGGGUGUGAAUCAGUUCGGCUCUUGGUGUCUCUC